rnacentral:rRNA from 1 species
GAUGAACGCUAGCUACAGGCUUAACACAUGCAAGUCGAGGGGUAACGAGAGGAAAGCUUGCUUUCCUUGUCGACGACCGGCGCUCGGGUGAGUAACGCGUAUCCAACCUGCCCCUAACUAGGGAAUAACCUUGCGAAAGUAAGACUAAUACCCUAUAAUUUCCUCAGAUGUCAUCUGACGAGGAAUAAAGAUUUAUCGGUUGUGGAUGGGGAUGCGUCUGAUUAGCUUGUUGGCGGGGUAACGGCCCACCAAGGCAACGAUCAGUAGGGGUUCUGAGAGGAAGGUCCCCCACAUUGGAACUGAGACACGGUCCAAACUCCUACGGGAGGCAGCAGUGAGGAAUAUUGGUCAAUGGGCGAAAGCCUGAACCAGCCAAGUAGCGUGCAGGAUGACGGCCCUAUGGGUUGUAAACUGCUUUUAUACAGGAAUAAAGUUAGCCACGUGUGGUUAUUUGUAGGUACUGUAUGAAUAAGGACCGGCUAAUUCCGUGCCAGCAGCCGCAGUAA